rnacentral:tRNA from 1 species
GGGAAGGUGGCUCAGGGGUAGAGUGCUUGCCUCGCAUGCAUGAGGCCUUGGGUUCGAUUCCUCAGCACCCCU